rnacentral:rRNA from 1 species
CCCUUAGAUGUUCUGGGCCGCACGCGUGCUACACUGAGUGGAUCAGCGGGUCAGGUUGCGCGAAAGUGUUUCCUAAUCUUUAAAUCCGCUCGUGAUGGGGAUUGACGGUUGCAAUUUUCCGUCAUGAACGAGGAAUACCUUGUAAGCGCGGGUCAUCAUCCCGCGCUGAAUACGUCCCUGCCCUCUGUACACACCGCCCGUCGCUCCUACCGAUUGAGUGGUCCGGUGAGGCUUUGGGAUCUGAGCGGAAAGAGCGUUUCGCUGUUUCUGCCCGGAAAACUCAGUCGAACCUUAUCAUUUAGAGGAAGGAGAAGUCGUAACA